rnacentral:rRNA from 1 species
GAGUGCGAAGAGGAAAAGUGGAAUUCCAUGUGUACGGUGAAAUGCGCAGAGAUAUGGAGGAACACCAGUGGCGAAGGCGACUUUCUGGUCUGUAACUGACGCUGAUGUGCGAAACGUGGGGAUCAAACAGGAUUAGAUACCCUGGUAGUCCACGCCGUAAACGAUGAGUGCUAAGUGUUAGGGGGUUUCCGCCCCUUAGUGCUGC